UACGUAGGGGGCUAGCGUUGUCCGGAAUCAUUGGGCGUAAAGAGCGUGUAGGCGGCCCGGUAAGUCCGCUGUAAAAGUCAAAGGCUCAACCUUUGAAUGUCAGUGGAUACUGCCGGGCUAGAGUCCGGAAGAGGCGAGUGGAAUUCCUGGUGUAGCGGUGGAAUGCGCAGAUAUCAGGAGGAACACCAAUAGCGAAGGCAGCUCGCUGGGACGUUACUGACACUGAGGCGCGAAAGCGUGGGGAGCGAACAGG
rnacentral:rRNA from 1 species